GUUCGAUUAGCUUAUUCAUAUAUUUGUUAGCUUCUAAUAUGAUUGGGUCUAUACUUGACAGGAAUCCUCAAAGGUUCAAAAAAAUCUGAAAAAAAUAUAUUUCCACUGGUAAAGACGGUGAAGAUCGCCCGUUUCCAAGACAGCGUAAUGCACUGACUGGUGCAAGAAGACUGGAGCAGCUUUUCGACAAAGCUGAUGAUAUGUCUGUGGACCAACACUCUGCGCACCACCGACAUUAUGCUUGUGAUGACCCUUGGGAAGGUUACAUGAACCUUGGGAGCCCCUCUGGACGUUGCAUCAAAUGUGGUUCCUCUAUGUGGAAGGAGGAACGCAACAAGUCUAGGAAAAACUCACAACCUACAUACUCUCUUUGCUGUAGAGAUGGCAUGGUAUCUCUCCCAUUAGAGAUACAGUUUAACUCAUUGUCAUCAGAUGGAUCUAACGUUCCUUUCUACUCUGUUUAACCCAUUAAUUCUUCUAUUUUAACGUUCUUGGUUUUGAUUAAGGAAAUGAUAAGCUAAGAUCACUCUGUCGGAUAACAUUCACAUGUAUGCUGGAAACUUGCAAAAUACUUUUUAUUGUGAGCUUUGAUUAGGGAGUUGGAAGUGAGCAUGGAGAGUUUCUUCAUCACUGUGACCAAUAAAAGAGGAUGGUGGGCAUGGAAAAAAGGGGUAUUUUGAUGUUAUAUGUGCAGCUAUGAGGUUUUUCUAACCAUAUUGCCCUGAUGUAACAUAUCUAUGUUCAAUCAUUUUUUGUCCGUAUAUUGAUUCUAUUUGUUUGUUAACUUAGAAAUUAUAAAUUCAGUUACAUGGUGCAUAUAUAUUCUGUAGUCUUAAAAAUGAGCUCUUAUGGUAUAUAAAGAAAGGAAUAUAAUUCAAGGAUAGAUUUUCAUUAUUAAAUUUCUCUUAGGUCAUUGUGCUUCUUAAAACUUACACUAAAUCACUAUUUACAGGUCAGUGGGUAUUGAGAUAAAGUAAGCUCGCAAAAUGGUCCAGCCCUCAAAGAUAAUGUAGAAAGCUUCAGUGUUGUUAAUAUAUUAAUGUUCUGCAAUCUAAUAUACUAUAUAUAUAUAUGAGGUAGUAGCUAUACAAAACUUUCUUAAUUGGCAUCGCAAGAUAUCUAUGUGUAUAGGUGAGGGUACUAAGACUUAUACUAAUCCAAGCCAAGAUAGUUCAAGUUGAAGUUAUACAGAAAGUAUAUAUUAUUUCAUUAAGCUCAGAUAUUUAUAAUGUAUUUAGGACAAAAGUUGUUGGUGCUGGAGGAGGAAUUCAUGUCAAAGUUUUGGAGAAGUGGCUGAGACUUGGGCUAUAAUAAAGAUGCUUGAAGUCUUUGUAUAAUAUUCUUCUUUAUUUGCUAAUCAGCAGCAAGUGGCAGAAUCUCUUAACAUGACUGAGUUAUAGUUAUCACAUUUCAGUGUUGAAAGUGAAGGUAUGGCAAGGGAUGUACAACUGUUUUUGUUGUAAACUGGGAUUAACACAUUAUAUAGGUUCUUUUUAUACUAAAAGUAUUUGGAAUUUUUAUUAUUUCUCUUUCGGAGUCCAGUACUUUCCAAAAUCUGAAGAGUAUAUGAUUGUUGCACUCAUAUCUGGGGCGUACAAAAUGUUAUCAGUGACAAGUUUCGUGCUAAUGCAUGGGUGAUGUGGCAGCUAGAGAAGCAUAUGAUGGACGCCUAAAGAUCUUUUGAUUUUGACUUCAUAGUAGGAUAUGAGUUUUUUUUUUUGAAAUUAAAGUACUUGCUUUUAUUCAAUUGAAUCGAUGAUUAACACAUCACGAAUACAAUCAGGAGGGUUAUCAACCCAUUUAUGAACGCCUGACAUAGAAUAAGUAGCCCGUGCCAACUCAUGAGCCACUACAUUCGCAGACCUCGGGACAUAGUCCACUAGCACUUCAUCAUAGUGCUUAAAUAACUUAAUACAAUCUAACACAAUCAAAUGAAAGUAGGUAUU